rnacentral:sRNA from 1 species
CAUCACCUCCCGCGAGAUCCAGACGGCCGUGCGCCUGCUGCUGCCCGGCGAGCUGGCCAAGCACGCCGUGUCCGAGGGCACCAAGGCGGUCACCAAGUACACCAGCUCGAAGGACAGCACAACACAGAAUGAGGAUUUGGGUGAAGUUGCAACCACCGAGGUCCACAUACCAGUUUAGAAGCCUCAGAGUGUAAGUCAUUGGGUAUUUAAGGACCUUACCUAAGCAAAUCAGAAGCAUUAUGAAGGGCAGUAUUGACAUUAACUGCCAGGAAUCUCCUAAAAGUCAAGGGAUUAUACAUGAGUCAUAGAAGGAUACUUGAAGAUGGACAAUUAUAGUCCCAUCACUUUAUGGAAGACUAUGAGACCCAAAUAAGAGAAAUCCCAGUGGUCCACGAACUUAGCUCUG